UGCUAAUGCUUUGUUCUGGUUCUCUAUUAAAAGGAGACCUUAAUAUCCUUUAGUUUCCAUUAGGACCCCGCUGCCACGGGAGUAUGGACAAUAGAUGUCAUGCAAGUUCUUUUCCAUAAGCAUGUAUGACUAUAUACGGAAUACAUGCCUACAUUACAUUGACGAACUGGAGCUAGUUGCAUAUCACCCUAUAUUAUAACUGAUGCAUGAUGAAUGUCAUCCAACAUAAUUAUCCAUCACCGAUCCAAUGCCUACGAGUCUUUUCCUACUCGUCCUUGCUACGUUACUUUACCGCUACUGCUGUCACUGCUGCUAGUGUUACCGUUGCUACCAUUGCUAUCACACUACU
rnacentral:lncRNA from 1 species